CCAAAAUGGCGAAGAGCUGGUAGAACCUGCCCUGACCCCUCACCCACCCUCAGGCCUCCAGCUCCGUGCCAGGUGAGGGGACGAUUUGACAGGGAGGCAGGAGGAGGGGUCGCCUGGGGCUGGGGACCUGCAGGCCUGUCACUGGGAGUCUGAGCCAAGCUUCUUUCUGGGCACCCUGGCAGCACCCCUGAGGUGUGGGCAUGCAGCAGGAUGACGGAGUUGCAUCGUGGGCCCUGGUUUUGCCUCCAGCACUUUUUCCUGCCGAUUCAGUUGCUCGUGGGGUCGGCGUUGCACCGGCUUCUCCAUCGCUGUUCAGAGAAGAGACAAGCCCAAGCCUGUGCCUGCGCUGGCAGGAGGCUGGAGAGUGAGUGGUGUCCGCCUUGUCCCCUGGGGCCAUUUGCAGCUGUCAGGAUGGACGGGAGCCUCAGCACCAAGACAGGCCAUGGGUGAAAAGCAAGAGGCCACGAGAGUUCGCUGCUGGAUUCAUUUCAAAGACAGAGGAAAGAAGAAUAUGUGUCCAUCUGUGUAUAUACAGAGAGCCCUGCUAGCACGUGCAGCAAGUGGUAAGGCCAGCUGCCUCCUGGGAGGGAAGUCACCCUGAGGACAGGAGAUCCCCACCGAGGGCUCCAAAAGGAAGGAGCGGAGUGGAGGAUGCCAGGUCCAGGGCAGCUGUGCUCACAGACGCUGCAUUCUCUGUGCGUCCGGCGGAGGAGAUGAUGGGACGGGGAACUCUCGCUGCCGCCCACCCCAUAAAGUGUAACCGGUCUCUUCCUUGCACCUGAUCAAGACAUGUAACGUUCAACUUGUGCAAGGCGUAAGUGUCCUCACAGUAAACCAUACAUUACCCAAAAGAAUAUAAAAAGUUAGAACCAGAAGGUAUUAUGGGUUACAUGGUCACCGUGAUUCACAGACGAGCAAGCCGUGAGGCCCCUCGUGGUGCUCCUGUCUGCGUGGUGCCUGUGACUGUCGCAGGAGGUGCCACUUGCGGCUUAGAAGUGCAGCCCUGGCCCGCGGUCACCCCACAGACCGGAACUGUCUCCCUGGCGCGGUGCGUUUUGGACCCGUCCUCUUAGCUGCAUCCUUGUUUGCUCUGCAUGAGUCAUUGAGUGUUCCCUGAUCCCUCCCGUGUCCAUCCUAAUGAUUAAGUGAACAAUGACAUUUCUAAGUUCUGUUUAACUUUCUUACUAAGAAAGAUUUAGCUGAUUAAAAGCUUCCAAAAAUAUUCUGUGAAAAAUGAUCAAAUGUUGAUUUACCCAGUAGGGGACAGUGUACUUAGAAGCCAUCUCCAUCUGCCCUUGGCUCCGGCAGGGAAUGACAUAGUAAUUAAUCAGCUGCGGUGAAUCAGAUUAGUUUAAGAACUAGGAUUCCGGCACCCUACCCUCGAGAGAGCAAAGUGUGUUGACUACAGUGGAACCUGAAAAGGCUUCAAGGUUUUUACAGCUACAUUCUGUUCUGUGUGGUUGUGAUUUUGCUCAAUACCUGUCAUUGUUGUUUUCAAAAUCAAAUGCACAUCAUUUGGUAAAAGCCCAGCUGGGAUGUCCACUUGUGUUUGUCACGUGCAAGAGCAUCACUGCCAUAUUCUGCAUGAAAAAAGGAAGACUAAACUGACAGAGGCUGCCCAGUGUCGGACAGUUUGAGAGGAAGUGGCCCUGCUACCUUCCAGACAGUGUGCAUGAAAAGCGGGCAAAAGCACCUGCCCCCUAAACCAGCAGAUCCCUGUGCAGGAACCAAACAGCCACGUGCGCAGAGGGGCGUGCAGCAGGGGACGUCCCAGUAGCCAUCCACGGUGGUGAUGACCUCUGGUAGAGGGGCACACAGCAGGGGAGGUCCCGUGCGCAGAGGGGCACACAGCAGGGAGGUUCCAGCCGCCGUCCACGGUGGUGAUGACUUCUGGUAGAGGGGCACACAGCAGGGAGGUUCCAGCCACCGUCCACGGUGGUGGUGACCUCUGGUAGAGGGGCACACAGCAGGGGAGGUUCCGUAUGCAGAGGGGCACACAGCAGGGAGGUCCCAGCAGCUGUCCACGGUGGUAACGACCUCUGGUAGAGGAGCAUACAGCGGGGAGGUUCCAGCAGCCGUCUGCAGUGGCGACGACCUCUGGUCAGCUCCACAUGGCCAUUGAGGAAAGUGGUUAAGUCCUGGUUAUAAUUCCAUCGCAUGGGAUAUGAUGUAGCCAUUAAAAGUAUGCAGAUUUAAGUUACAAUAUGUCAUUUUAACACACUGUAUUCACUCAAUUAUAUUUUACAUGUAAGAUACAAAUGUAUAACUUAUAUGUGUAUAAUAAUAAAGUAUGUGACACGAUCUCCUGAA